GUGUUCAAAUUUGAAGUAUGAGAAUUUGAACGUUGGCAAACAUGAUAAUUAUCCGUCAAAAAAAGUAAAUUGAAACAAAGUUGUCGUGUUUAACAACUGAAGUUGCCACCUCACGUUAACUAAAGUUGUCAUGAAAAAGCAUUCGGAAUAACAUGCUUAAAAUCCGAACGUACGGAAUUUAUCGGGAUCCUAAAAUAAUUUGAUAGGAGAAGUCCAGGAAAAGUAAAUCUGGUGACAAUAUUUCUGAUGAAAAAAAAAAUGAAAAACCUUGUGUAUAACAGCUAUGUAAACUGUUAGCAAAGCGAAAUAUUUGCUUAAUCAUAUCCAGAUAUUUUGUGUGUGUGUGAAAC
rnacentral:lncRNA from 1 species